rnacentral:rRNA from 1 species
UAAGCUAGAGUAUNUCAGAGGGGGGUAGAAUUCCACGUGUAGCAGUGAAAUGCGUAGAGAUGUGGAGGAAUACCGAUGGCGAAGGCAGCCCCCUGGGAUAAUACUGACGUUCAUGCUCGAAAGCGUGGGUAGCAAACAGGAUUAGAUACCCUGGUAGUCCACGCCCUAAACGAUGUCAAUUAGCUGUUGGGGCACUUGAUGCCUUAGUAGCGAAGCUAACGCGUGAAAUUGACCGCCUGGGGAGUACGGUCGCAAGAUUAAAACUCAAAGGAAUUGACGGGGACCCGCACAAGCGGUGGAUGAUGUGGAUUAACUCGAUGCAACGCGAAGAACCUUACCUGGUCUUGACAUGUACGGAAUCUUCCAGAGACGGAAGAGUGCCUUCGGGAGCCGUAACACAGGUGCUGCAUGGCUGUCGUCAGCUCGUGUCGUGAGAUGUUGGGUUAAGUCCCGCAACGAGCGCAACCCUUGUCAUUAGUUGCCACCAUUUAGUUGGGCACUCUAAUGAGACUGCCGGUGACAAACCGGAGGAAGGUGGGGAUGACGUCAAGUCCUCAUGGCCCUUAUGACCAGGGCUUCACACGUCAUACAAUGGUCUGUACAGAGGGUAGCCAAGCCGCGAGGUGGAGCCAAUCUCAGAAAACCGAUCGUAGUCCGGAUUGCACUCUGCAACUCGAGUGCAUGAAGUCGGAAUCGCUAGUAAUCGCAGGUCAGCAUACUGCGGUGAAUACGUUCCCGGGUCUUGUACACACCGCCCGUCACACCAUGGGAGUGGGGGAUACCAGAAGUAGGUAGGCUAACCGCAAGGAGGCCGCUUACC